GGAGAGGUGGCAGAGCGGUUGAAUGCACUGGUCUUGAAAACCAGCAAGGGUUUGUAGCCCUUCGAGGGUUCGAAUCCCUCCCUCUCCGCCA
rnacentral:tRNA from 3 species